UGUGUGUAUUUCCUUAUUAAAUGUCCAUCGUGACACCCUCCUCGCCACCUUCAUAUUUUUUCGCCCACACAUUUAAAGUUAAUGAAAGGAAGCCUGUUCGGAGAACGUGUCAAGCGUUGAUAAUUGUGUGUCACACUCACACUUCAAUGCAGCACGAUGCCUUCACGUUCAUCCGGCAAACAUACUGCCUGUAGUGCACCGUAAUGAUGAUGACGGUGAAGGAUGAGCGCGCAACUACAUAUUUAGCAAGCAGGCAUAUGCUAAUGAUUAAUGAUUCCUCUGGACUCUUUUUGUGAGUCGCGCUUAAUAUUAGCCUGAAACCAUCAAUAAACGCCUUGAUAAGAGAGAAGGAUUGCACAUCGGCUGUCAAGGGUGAGUCUAUUAUUCACAACUCUUUUGUGCUAAACAGCUGUCUCGAACUAAUACGAAUCUAAAAUAAUAAGACCUCGUGAUAAAUGUUACAUUACAUUAUGUUACAUUUUCAUUCCCGAAGUGUAGUUUGACAAUGUUGGAAGUGUGGUACGCACCCUCCAACCCGCCUGUGACCUAGCCUUUAACGUAACAUCUGGACAACGUCCCAAUUAGCUGCGCUUUACAAAGUGCCCUUCUCAUGCAAUUUCCUCUCAGUUACCCAAUUGGAGUGGAGAAUAGGAGAAGGCGAGGGGAAAACUGUUUUUUUUUAAAAAUCAAAAGUACCAAAGGUUUUGUCUUUUUUCACAGAGACACUGAAUGCGUGCAAACUAACGACCGUGAGAGCCAGACGCUCUUGCCAGUUGCGGUAUAGCACUGCUUUCAGUGUCAGUCGGGGUGGAUGCAGAUGAAGUGAAGUGGCAACCAAGCUGUAUGAAAACAGUCGAAAUGGUACGCUAUGUCAAAUGUUCAUGAAUGUUCAUAUCAAUACCCGUAAAUGUGUUGAAGGAACAACUUUGGCAAACAAAACACAUCGAUUGCAAUCUGGACAAAGACAUUUAGUGAUCGGCAUCUCUGGUGAGUGGUUUAAACUUAAAAUGUUUUUGUCAUGUUAUCAAAUAUCGCUUCUGAACUGUUGCAGAUGAUUUAACCAGCAAUAGAUGUGUGCUUUUAUAUUCUGUGUGGGUUUUUUUUCUUUAAUGAUGCUUACUCUAAACGCAGCGUGGUCGUGGCAGUAGUGCCCACUGAAGGUACCAAAUGCAUGGCCCACCAUUGGUUCAGCUCCACCCUGGACUACUGAAUUGUACCCCAAUAAAAGAUUGCUGUCAAAUGUUACGGUAUAAAAGCUGUCAUUUUUACAUAUCCCUCUUCACCCCUCAACAAAAAAUAAAUAAAUAAAAUUGCUAUGCGACAAGGAAGGCAGGCAGUUCAGGCUUGACCCUGCCUCUUGCCCAAAUUUAGCUGGGAUAGGCAGCUCACCCGCAAACUGAGAAUGGAAUCGAAUACCAGAAUGCUAAUUUAUUUGAUUUUAUUUUGUAUUCCUGUAUUUAACGAUGACAUCACUUUGUGAGUGAUCUCUCUGAAAAGUGCCAGAAAAAUGAAAUGUUCUUAAUUACUUACGAUAAUCACUGUAUUCUACAGAAAAUGAAUGGAUGGUGAAAACAGGGGCUUCAAUUCACAUGAGAGAGCAUGUUGAAGUUGUCUGUACAAUUCAUACGAGUUUUUGUAGUUGCACCUCUUUAGGAGUGUAGAGGAGGAUGAAGAGCUCAGACCAGGGGUGUCCAAACUAUUGCCCGCCAUCCAUUCAUCAAUAAAAAAUAAAUAAAUAAAUAAAAAUAAUAACAUAGUAACAAGAAGCGUUCACCACUUACUAGCUAACAAGGUUCCAUGGCUUCUCUCGGCUGGUGGAUUCACUUCUUCAGGAGAAAUUUUGCUAAUGACACUAUGUUAGUCUGUAAAUUGUUGUAGAUGCAUUUUCAGGGUGGAAGCAUAGCUCGCUAUCUAACUGGAUAGUGUUCGACUGUACUUAAAAAAUAGUUGGGGACGUCUUUGCAUCCAUUAGCCUGCUUGCAGUCGAACUGUCUCCUUUCAUGCAAGUUUUAUUUAAUUG